rnacentral:lncRNA from 1 species
AGGAGGAAGCUGGGGCCGCCGUCGGGCCUUCUCCCUCCAGGGGCCCAAGAGCCACUGGUACUCAGUGUCUGGGUGGGGGCAGGGGGGAUUUUUGUUCUCCCAGCACCUGCGGCUGUUGAGACCAGAGAAGCUGGUGGUCGACCACAGCCUGGGGUAUUAGUUCACCCCUAGCUUCUCCCCAGCGAGACCCCAGGGCCCUUGGGCACAGGGGAUUAAGCCUCUAUCUGCUUACGUGCAAGCGGAAGAAAUAGGCCCAGAGAGCAACAGUGGCGGGUCUGCAGUCACACAGCCAACUUGCGCUUGUGGCAGUGGCAAGGUUGGUGAGUAUCUGAGUCUUCAGGCCACGGCAUUUUCCGCUCGAGUGGAGCCUGAAGUUCUGAGGGUACCCCUCACUCAAGCUCCAGGCGUCAGGAAAAGAACAUUCCACGAAGUCCAUCUGGAAGACGGUCCUUUCCCUGCUGCCCCCAGCUUCUAGAACAUUCCCUGGAACACAGCAAGUGUUCAGUAUUGUUCAUGG